AACGAACGCUGGCGGCAGGCCUAACACAUGCAAGUCGAGCGAGGACUUCGGUUCUAGCGGCGGACGGGUGAGUAACGCGUGGGAAUGUGCCCUUCUCUACGGAAUAGCCCUGGGAAACUGGGAGUAAUACCGUAUACGCCCUAUUGGGGAAAGAUUUAUCGGGGAAGGAUCAGCCCGCGUUGGAUUAGGUAGUUGGUGGGGUAAUGGCCUACCAAGCCGACGAUCCAUAGCUGGUUUGAGAGGAUGAUCAGCCACACUGGGACUGAGACACGGCCCAGACUCCGACGGGAGGCAGCAGUGGGGAAUCUUAGACAAUGGGGGCAACCCUGAUCUAGCCAUGCCGCGUGAGUGAUGAAGGCCUUAGGGUUGUAAAGCUCUUUCAGCUGGGAAGAUAAUGACGGUACCAGCAGAAGAAGCCCCGGCUAACUCCGUG
rnacentral:rRNA from 1 species